rnacentral:rRNA from 1 species
UACGUAGGGGGCAAGCGUUGUCCGGAUUUAUUGGGCGUAAAGAGCGUGUAGGCGGCUAGGUAGGUCCGUUGUGAAAACUCGAGGCUCAACCUCGAGACGUCGAUGGAAACCAUCUAGCUAGAGUCCGGAAGAGGAGAGUGGAAUUCCUGGUGUAGCGGUGAAAUGCGCAGAUAUCAGGAAGAACACCCGUGGCGAAGGCGGCUCUCUGGUACGUGACUGACGCUGAAGGAGCGAAAGCGUGGGGAGCGAACAGG